GUUGCCGUGGUGUAAUUGGAUAACAUGCCACCCUCCGAAGGUGGAGACUUGCGAGUUCGAAUCUCGCCGGCAACACCA
rnacentral:tRNA from 1 species